rnacentral:rRNA from 1 species
UACGAAGGGGGCUAGCGUUGCUCGGAAUCACUGGGCGUAAAGCGCACGUAGGCGGAUUGUUAAGUCAGGGGUGAAAUCCCGGAGCUCAACUCCGGAACUGCCUUUGAUACUGGCGAUCUUGAGUUCGGGAGAGGUGAGUGGAACUGCGAGUGUAGAGGUGAAAUUCGUAGAUAUUCGCAAGAACACCAGUGGCGAAGGCGGCUCACUGGCCCGAUACUGACGCUGAGGCACGAAAGCGUGGGGAGCAAACAGG